AAGCCUAUAACUCAGUUGGUUAGAGUAUAUGCCUGAUAAGCAUAAAGUCAGUAGUUCAACUCUACUUAGGCUUA
rnacentral:tRNA from 1 species